GACGAACGCUGGCGGCGUGCUUAACACAUGCAAGUCGAACGAAGUGGCGAACGGGUGAGUAACGCGUAAUCAACCUGCCCUUCAGAGGGGGACAACAGUUGGAAACGACUGCUAAUACCGCAUACAGAAGGAGGGGCUUGCGUCUGAUUAGCUAGUUGGGGGGGUAACGGCCCACAAAGGCGAUGAUCGGUAGCCGGUCUGAGAGGAUGAACUGCCACAGUGGGACUGGGACACGGCCCAGACUACUACGGGAGGCAGAAGUGGGGAAUCUUUCGCAAUGGACGAAAGUCGGACGGAGCAACGCCGCGUGAGUGAUGAAGGCCUUCGGGUUGUAAAGCUCUGUUAAUCGGGACGCGGUACCGGAAUAGAAAGCCACGGCUAACUACGUGCCAGCAGCCGCGGUAAUAC
rnacentral:rRNA from 1 species